GAAAUAUGACAAAGUUUUAGUCCAUGCUUAUUCAAGUCCUCAAGUCUUUGUUGCUGGUUGGGUAUACGAAUGAUAAAUAGAAUAAAAGAAAGUGGUGAGAAGGAGUUUGGAGUCUAGACCUUAAAUACAGACGACGAGGAGUUUAAAAGAAGUGUAAGAAGUUGCUUGAAGAAUAAAAGAUCGAGCUGCAGAAAAGAAGUGUAAGAAGUUGCUUGAAGAAUAAAAGAUCGAGCUGCAGAAAGGAAAGGAAAGAAGAAUUCUUUACCGCUCCAAUGAUUCAGUCUGAGCUAUUGGGUGGGGAACAAGAGUAAAAGGCUUUUAUAUGAGGUUGAAAAAUUGACGUGGUGAAUUGUAAACGCUGAACUUGUGUGUAAUUGAGCAUAUAUACGAGGCUAUAUAAUACCCAUGAUUUUUGGAAUAAACAAA